rnacentral:tRNA from 1 species
GGAUAUAGCUCAGUGGGAGAGCACAUGCUUAGCACUCUCGAGGUCCUGGGUUCAAUUCCCAGUACCUCCA